GGGACACAGCAGUGGCCCUCCGGGAUUGAGCACUGCUCAGCCUGUCCUCCACCACAGGCUGUUUGCCGGCAUGCCAUCGCCACCCUAAGUGGUGCCUCUGCACACCCACAGUGGAUCUGCAGUUGCGGUCAUCGGCAGUGGCUCCUUUUUGAUGCUCACCAGAAGACAGAAAAAAAAAAGAAGAAGAAGAAUCGGUCAAUUAAAUGCCAGCCCCUGGAUUGCAGUGGUUCAAUGAUAAGAAAAGCAGAUUGUAAAUUCACACGGCAUAAAGUUGGGGCGAGAAGUGUCCUCUGGAUUGGACAUUCCUCCUGCAAGCCGUGUGACGUCAGGAAGAAGUAGGCGUGAUCUUACUUCACAAACUUGAAAGAAACAUUCAGGAGAGUGGCCAGACUCUCUCAGACUCAAACUCCAGGCUGUGGUUGUGCAGAAACCAGGGUUCAGCAUCUCCUCCAACCAGGAGCCGCGCAGCCUUUGCCAGCGGUAGCCAAAGGUCUGUGAAUUAAACGCUCCCUCAGUCAGUCUUCACGUGGGUGAAUCAUCUGGAUCUACUUUUAUCUUGUCAUGCUGCAGCUCUGAUUCAGAAGUCCAGACCCGACCUCCUUGGCCAAUCUCCAGCCUUUAGACUCACCAGGCAGCCCUGAUGAGCUCCCCUCCUCACUCUGCGCCAGUCCUCAAAAUCAAGGGUUUUAGGGUUUUGAUGAGUUAACUGCUAAUUUCUUGGGACUGACAAUAUCAUCUUUGAACACUUGGGGGCAAUUUUCUCUUUAUUCCUAUUCUUUCAAGUUGUACCUUUUAAUUUCAUGCUAAUGAGUCCCGCUCCCUCCCUGGCUUGGGUUUAAACUGCAAUCCCUCCCAUAGCCACACUUGGCCAAGCUUACACUUUGGCCUCAGUAAUUGUUUUUUUUCUUUAAACCAAUCCUUCUACCUCCUUAGUGAUUAGCAUUGCAGUUUGGAGCCUUCCAAUUUGUCUACAUCUUCAGGGGCUCACGAGAAAUAACACACUUGAAACAAAA